UUAGUACUCACUCCGUCCAGAAAAGGUUGUCUGAAAUUUGUUUAAAUUUGGAUGUAUCUAGAUACUAAAAUAUGUCUACAUACAUCUAUAUUUUGAAAAAUUUGCGACAUCCUUUUUAGGACGGAGGGAGUAGUAA
rfam:Brachypodium distachyon strain Bd21 chromosome 5, whole genome shotgun sequence.